rnacentral:rRNA from 1 species
AGUGAACGCUGGCGGCAGGCCUAACACAUGCAAGUCGAACGGCAGCACAGUAAGAGCUUGCUCUUACGGGUGGCGAGUGGCGGACGGGUGAGGAAUACAUCGGAAUCUACUUUUUCGUGAGGGAUAACGUAGGGAAACGUACGCUAAUACCGCAUACGACCUACGGGUGAAAGCAGGGGAUCUUCGGACCUUGCGCGAUUGAAUGAGCCGAUGUCGGAUUAGCUAGUUGGCGGGGUAAAGGCACACCAAGGCGACGAUCCGUAGCUGGUCUGAGAGGAUGAUCAGCCACACUGGAACUGAGACACGGUCCAGACUCCUACGGGAGGCAGCAGUGGGGAAUAUUGGGCAAUGGGCGAAAGCCUGAUCCAGCCAUACCGCGUGAGUGAAGAAGGCCUUCGGGUUGUAAAGCCCUUUUGUUGGGAAAGAAAAGCAGCAGGUUAAUACCCCGCUAUUCUGACGGUACCCAAAGAAUAAGCACCGGCUAACUUCGUG